GGAGAGGUGCUGGAGUGGCCGAACAGGCGCGCCUGGAAAGCGCGUAGGGGACGACCUCCCCUCGUGGGUUCGAAUCCCACCCUCUCCGCCA
rnacentral:tRNA from 1 species